rnacentral:ribozyme from 1 species
UGAUCAACGUAACGCUUUCCGGGCGUUAUGAAAGGGAGUACCGGGUGGGAGAACGCAGCUUAGACCUUGGGCCACUUUACCCCAAAGCGUGCUGCUAUUACCCCGCCCAGUGCUUUCAAGUAAGCCAGACGAGGGACGGCGUCGCCAAUCGAAAACCCAUACCAAACCCCGGGCUCACCCCCGGGGGGGCUAGUAGAGUGGCUUUGCCAGAACGACUCGGCGCCUGAAUUGCAUAAAAAUGGUGACUAAAGCCGGUGGAACCUCCCCCCUUGGGGGGAGGGGCCUGAAGGCGAUAGCCGCCGUGGUUCCAAAGCAGUCUGACUGAGGAGGAGCGCAGGUUUCCCCAGUGUAAGGCGACACACCUGGAUGCUGAGACAGCCCAUACCAAACGACCGUAGUACCAAGCGUUCCCUGUUUAUACCAGGGCGUUAAGUGCUCUCCCUCGGCCCUCGGGCUGUCGGGGAGUGCGGGUUAGAACCUACGAAUCGGGGCCGAUCAGCAGGCAACAAGGUCCACCCAAAAGGCCGGAGGAAUCGAGUCGGGGCUUGCCCUGGCCGCCCUCCCAUGCCAUAAUGGUAACGGUGACUGCGUGCUUCAACGACUGGAAAGGUGUGGGCUCAGUUCGGUUGCUCCCAUUCCCUCGUCUGCUUUUCCAGCUUUGGAAAGGCGGGCGGGGGACCAAAGUGGGGGUACCCUUCCGGGGCUUAAGGUACAGUCUACUCCCACGGCCGCGAGGGUAACCCCGCCUUUUUAAAGGCGGGAUGAGCUCAAGGUCGUGCUCUGUUCCACAGGGGACUUUCCUCAUUGGCGAAAGCUCGAGCCCUGCUCCAAACCAUGGUACUCUGCUUGUUUAAAGCGGGGGAGCUGGGGAGGGGAAGGGUUAGGGUUAGAGGAUUUCCCCGCAACCCACUAGUGCAGGGUUAGGUUCAGGGGAGGCUAGUUGGCUUUCGUUUGAGUAGGGUUAGGCCUGAGCUUGCAACUCAGGCCCGAGCCGAAAGAGAGCUGGCUGCCUCGGUUCCAAGG